GCGGACGAGGACGAGAUGAUAUUUUCUCUUGUCUCCGUGAUUGCAGAAAAGGAAAACGACCGGUUCUUUUAUAAAAAUUUUGGUUACUGAACUACCCUUGUGUUUUUUAAAUGACCUUGAUAGUUGGGUAUAUUACAAAUAUGGAUUCCUGGAGAAGUGACAUUUUAGUUGCCUGGCUUGAACUGGAAAGACUUACACAUUGCUGCUUUGUAGAUGUUGGGGAUCAACCAAUUCACC
rnacentral:lncRNA from 1 species